rnacentral:lncRNA from 1 species
UGAUUUAAAAUGUCAUCUAAUAAAUCCUUAUUAGAUGGAAGGUUUACCUGAGUUCUGUUUCCUAAUUUUUUUUUCCAAAAAGACAGCAUAAACAGUUUUAUAUAAGAGUUUAUGGCUAUAGUAGAAAGGGAGAGGAAAUGAUCUAUGUUGCCUGUCAGUUCAAGUCAAGGAACAUGGAGAAAGAGAAAGCACUUCCACUUGAUUUGAAAAGUUUGGGGACAGUGUUGGCAGCCAUACUUGAAAUCCCCCAUGCUUUUCUGUCCCAGGAAGGGAGCUGGUGCAGACUCUGGUCCUGUAGAGCACCUAGGUUUUAAUUAGCAGUGUCAGUGACCCAAGACAGCACACAAGCUCCAAGGACAUUCUGCACGAGGUCAGGGUUGCAGCCUUAAGUAACACAGCCUGCAUUGUUGAAUACUACUUGAAAUGCUCCCAGUCACACACGAUUGAAAUGUCUCCUGGAGUUUGUCCUUGUCCUGAGUUAACGUUGUUUUGAUUUUUCAUAUUGGCACCAUAAUUAAGCACAACAAAAAGCAGGCAGUGGUUGGGCCACCCCAGCAAAUGUGUACAUGAUUUUUAGCCUGUGUGAAAUCCACGUCUGUCUAGGUCAGAACUAAUAAAAUUCAUUUUUUUCCAAACUUAAAACAGGAUAAGUCUUUGAAAGUUAAAACUUAUCAAGUCACCUUUGGUGAUGCCUGGUAAGAAGGCUAGUCUUGGUAAAUCAUUUCUAUACCUCUGGUUUAUACCUGAAAUUUCAGGAGAAAAAGUGUGACUCCAAAUGGAUAAGAAUAUCCAAUAGAAUGCUGUUUCGAAUGGUUGUUUAUGUAGGUGCAGUUUUGGUGAUGGUGAAGGCUUAAAAUUCUACUUUGGAACACAGGUGGUUGGUUUCUCUGGUACCCAAAAUGCAUGCUUUUCUUUGGAUGUAGCAGUAAUCGCAUGUGCAGAAAUAUUAAAUACUGUUUUGUUAUUACAAAUAGAUCUGAGCUGAAUUUUAAAAAAUGUUACUUCCAGGUGAAUUUCUGUGCUCUGAUUUGACAUAAAACAUACUUUGAGAAAUUUAAGAAGAAAUCUCAAAGUGCAGGAAUGUACUUGCACUCUCCUAUACAAGUAUAUAAUGUGAGAAAUAAAUGUAAUUUUCAAAGUUUCUAGAAACCUUGUUAAAUACAAGUAAAAAGAGACAGCUAGAGUUAAUCUUAAUAAUACAUUUUAAUUAACCCAACAUAUGCCAGAAAUUAUCAUAAAUACCCAAUCUAUAUAAAAAUCACUGAUUGAUGUUCUUACUUCUUUUCCUUAUUCUAAGUUUUUGCGAUUUAGUAUGCAUUUUAAACUGGACUAACCAAGUGCUUAAUAGCCACAUGUGGUUAGUGGCCAAAAUAUGGAGCAGAAAAGAAUUUAAUAUAGCAGUAAUGAGUAUUAUGAUGCUUAAUUUAUUUAUAAAAUACCUUUUCCAUAUAUAUGUAUAUAUGUGUUUCCAUUGUGUACAUGAAUAUAUUCCUUACAUCUAUAUUCUGGAUGUGUCCUCAGCCCAAAUUUACAUUAUAAUACUUUCAUCUUGUCAGUUGCUGAAGUGCACUUUCUUUUUUUUUAAACAUGGAAAGGAAUUCACUGUUUUUCUCUCAAAUACACAAAAGGGCUUAGGAAGUUUGUAGUUAUCUUAGUUUUUUAGCUGAGAGAUGGACCUUUAGGAGUGAGGUCCCUAUCAGAGCUUGCUUUCCAUCAGCCAAGUAGGAGUUUGAUGCUUGUUUUUCCAGAUGCUAAGGUUGGUAAUGCUACUUUGCAAAUAUUAAACUAUGUAAAAUUUCAAUAUUUUCUUCUUUUAUCAUUAAAAUUCAGCUUUUAUCAUUAAAAUUCAGUGGUAGAGCACUUGCCUUGCAUGCAUGAGGCCCUGGGUUAGAUCCUCAGCACCUCAUAAAAAUAAACAAAUGAAAAAAAGAUAUUUUGUCCAUCUACAACUAAAAAAAAAAUUUUUUUAAAUCCAGUUCAGAUCUAUUUCUCUGUUACUUUGACAAUGCCACCUUGGUUCUGCCAAACCUUCAAAUAUGAUCAUCCCUCCAUUAAACUCCCUGCCUUAAACCUGGGUGGACUGCACAUCCUUGUGUGCAGCUGCUUCCUUGAAGCAAUGGCUAUGAUCUCUCUGUUCUUCACUCCUGCCUCUCUCUCUCUCCCAUCCCUCCUUCUCUUGCCCACACAGCACAACAUGCCCUUCUGGAGGAUAUCAAGUCACUCGGACCUCUUGGCUCUACAUCAAGCACUGGAAUUAGAAUAUUUGUAACUGUGUUCUCUAGCUGGAGAUCCGUUUUGUUUGUUUUGGUUUUUUUUUUUUUUUUUACAUUUCAAGUACACUGAAUUUUUAUGUGUGUGAUUCAAUGCCUCUGGCUCUACACAUAUAAAUUGUCUUAAAGGAUGAAAUCGUAUUUGGAAUGGAAAUUCCGGAAUGAAGAAUUCAGAUUGCUGAAUGGAAUUAAACUUUAGUGCUACAGAAAGGAAACUCUAUGGUCUUACAUCUACAACACUUUAAUGGUUUCUAAAACAAAUCUGUGGAGAUUGCUAUGCACAGAGAAUGAGUCCUAACUGGAAUUCACAGCUUUAGCAAAGACCCCUCACCCUCCCGGGCAGCAACACUUAUGCUCCGUCUGACAAGGUGGUCACCAACAUUCCUCAAAAUGGGAUCUCUUCUCAGCCCUGAGGUUUGAAUCUGACUUUAGCCUACCUAGCCCAGAAAAUCUGAAUUGGAAUGCACUCAAGACUGUAUAAGGACAGUCCUAUCUAGACCUGUAAUUUGUGUAAAUUAUUGAUGAAAAUAAUUUACUGUGACUUUAUUAGCCGCUGACUUUGAAAGUGGAUGCAAUUUUUCUUUCAUUUGUUGGGGAGGGUUGAGGGAGGGGAAACGGGAAU